GACGAACGCUGGCGGCGUGCUUAACACAUGCAAGUCGAGCGGAGCGGCGAACGGGUGAGUAACGCGUGAGUAACUGCCCCCCUCUCUGGGAUAACAGUUGGAAACGGCUGCUAAUACCGGAUAGUGGGGGAUGACUCGCGUCCUAUCAGCUUGUUGGUGGGGUAGUGGCCUACCAAGGCGACGACGGGUAGCCGGCUUGGGAGAGUGUACGGCCCCAUUGGGCUGGGACACGGGCCGGACUCCGACGGGAGGCAGCAGUGGGGAGUUUUGCACAAUGGGUGAAACCAUGAGGCAGUGACGCCGUGUGAUUUAGUAGGCCUUCGGGUUGUAAAAAUCUUUUCUAUGGGAAGCCAUAGGAAUAAGGACCGGCUAAUUACGUGCCAGCCGCCGCGGUAAUAC
rnacentral:rRNA from 1 species